rnacentral:lncRNA from 10 species
AACACAUAAUCAAGAAAUAACCAUAAGUAUCAACAGUGGAACAGCCCAUGCUGCUGCUCUGCCUAUGGAGUAGCCAUUCUUUAUUCCCUUACUUUCUUAAUAAACUCGCUUUCACUUUAUGGAUUCAACUGUAAUUCUUUCUUGUGUGAGAUCCAAGAACCUUCUUGUAGGGUCUGGAUUGGGACCCUUUUCUGGUAACAUCUUCCUGGUGACCAUGAAGGGACAAUACUGAAGAGACCCCUGACCCUAAGGAAAUAGACUGCAGCACCAAUGGGCCAACUUUGGUGAUCUCUGGCUGCUGCUCAGAAGAAACAAGAGGGAGGGAUGAAUAAUGUAAAACUCUGGAUCAAUAUUCUAAUUCUGAGCCUCUAUUGGAAUCAGCUAGCAACCACAUAUCAGCUUGGUUUCAACAGUUUCCCAGUUCAUGCUGCUGAGAAGUUCAGAGUCAAACCUGAAUCUCACCUCUGCAAAGAGCACAGGACUCCAUGGCAAACGUUGUAUAUACGCAAGUCAUCCCUGGCACCACAUUGAUUUACUGCACCAGGCUUUCUUCAUUGUGAUGAUGUUCUCUCUCUUUUCUAAAAAAAAAAUAAAAAUAAAAUUUAAAAAAUCCUGUU